AGCAGUAGCCGCGGGAAUACGUAGGGUGCAAGCGUUAAUCGGAACUACUGGGCGUAAAGCGUGCGCAGGCGGUCCGCUAAGACAGAUGUGAAAUCCCCGGGCUUAACCUGGGAACUGCAUUUGUGACUGGCGGGCUAGAGUAUGGCAGAGGGGGGUAGAAUUCCACGUGUAGCAGUGAAAUGCGUAGAGAUGUGGAGGAAUACCGAUGGCGAAGGCAGCCCCCUGGGCCAAUACUGACGCUCAUGCACGAAAGCGUGGGGAGCAAACAGGAUUAGAUACCCCCGUAGUCCCUGUCUCUUAUAC
rnacentral:rRNA from 1 species